GACGAACCGUGCGAACGUUAUUCGGAAUCAUUGGGCUUAAAGGGCGCGUAGGCGGGCGACCGCGUCGAGUGCUGAAAGCCCCCGGCUCAACCGGGGAAUGGGCCUCGAAACGGGUCACCUGGAGGCGAGGAGGGGGACCGGGAACGUCCGGUGGAGCGGUGGAAAUGCGUUGAGAUCGGACGGAACGCCGACGGCGAAAGCAAGGUCCUGGACUCGUCCUGACGCUGAGGCGCGAAAGCCAGGGGAGCGAACGGG
rnacentral:rRNA from 1 species